rnacentral:rRNA from 1 species
UACGUAGGUCCCGAGCGUUGUCCGGAUUUAUUGGGCGUAAAGCGAGAGCAGGUGGUUUAUUAAGUCUGGUGUAAAAGGCAGUGGCUCAACCAUUGUAUGCAUUGGAAACUGGUAGACUUGAGUGCAGGAGAGGAGAGUGGAAUUCCAUGUGUAGCGGUGAAAUGCGUAGAUAUAUGGAGGAACACCGGUGGCGAAAGCGGCUCUCUGGCCUGUAACUGACACUGAGGCUCGAAAGCGUGGGGAGCAAACAGG